GUUCAGACUGCAGGCUGCAACUCGCCUGCGCGAAGUCGGAAUUGCUAGUAAUCGUAGGUCAGCAUACUACGGUGAAUACGUUCCCGGGCCUUGUACACACCGCCCGUCAAACCAUGAGAGUUGGCAACACCCGAAGUCGGUAGUCUAACCGCAAGGAGGACGCCGCCGAAGGUGGGGUUGAUGAUUAGGGUUAAGUCGUAACAAGGUAUC
rnacentral:rRNA from 1 species